CGGGCGCCCGUCCCCCGGCACGGAGCACUGCGGAUGCGGCGCGGGGCCGGCGCGGGGCUCCGGGCGCGCUCGGGGGUCGUGAGCGCCGCGCCCCGCGCCCCCGCGCGCCCCCCGCCCGCCCGCGCGCCCCGCCGGGGCCAUGCAGUCGCUUAUCUCGCCGGUGACCAAGGCGAUCCUGGUGGCCCUGUUCAUCUUCGCAAAUCCUGCUCAUCCUGUACGUGAUACUCUGGUACAUCUGCCGCGAUGUGGACUGCGACCACGGCAUCUGAGCCCCGCGGCGCCCUGGGCGCCCCGCCCCGGGCAUGGGGGCCGCGCGCCCGCCGCCGGGCCGUGACCUUCAGGGACGGAGCGCGGAGAGCCGGGCCCCUGGAGGGACGGAGAGUUCUGGUGGCCGUGCAGUCUCUGUUCACCUGUUCUCCAGAGGUGAUGAGAACAUCUCCAUCGCGAGCCACCACGGGCAGCCCAGGACUCCAACGUAACGGGGUGCAUCCCUGCAGCUCAGCGCUCGGCGCUUUUCUGGAGACAGCCGAGGAGCAUGCCCCAUCCCAGCCACACUGUGGGGGUGAAGGGUGGGGUGACCGCCCAUGAGGAUUACGGCCAUCCCCCCGUCAUUCAUGUUGCCAAGCCAUGACCAGGCGGCCAGGACUCGUGGGCGGUGUCUCCCCCGGGGCCAUGCUGGCAUCCGUAACCUCCAUACACCCUUGUGGUCCCAUCCAGCCAUCCCUGCCCGCCCGCCUGGCCCAGUCUGUCGUGAAGUUUCGUCAGCCUUUUGCGUGUGCAUAGUCCCAACUCCCAGGGGUUCCGGCGCCCGUCGGAAGGGUUCGCCUGCUCAUUCCUGGCUAGGCCAGUUCAGAGGACCAUCAGCUUCAAGUUAUAGCGUCGUUAAGGAGAAGACGGCAUGUUCUGGGAGGAUCGAGCGACCCUCUAAGAUACACACCAGAGACUUUGCACGGGCCAUCAGACGGUUCCGCAAACUCGUAGACACCCAUCUAACGUGUGAUGAAUGGCGCCUCUGUGUUGUUUUGUUAUAGCUUCCGCCUCCCCACGUGGAGAGGGCCAAUAAAGACAAAGCUGAGACAUUAUGGCUAUUCCA
rnacentral:lncRNA from 1 species